rnacentral:rRNA from 1 species
GACGAACGCUGGCGGCGUGCUUAACACAUGCAAGUCGAACGGAAAGGCCCUGCUUUUGUGGGGUGCUCGAGUGGCGAACGGGUGAGUAACACGUGAGUAACCUGCCCUUGACUUUGGGAUAACUUCAGGAAACUGGGGCUAAUACCGGAUAGGAGCUCCUGCUGCAUGGUGGGGGUUGGAAAGUUUCGGCGGUUGGGGAUGGACUCGCGGCUUAUCAGCUUGUUGGUGGGGAGGUGGCUUACCAAGGCUUGGACGGGUAGCCGGCCUGGGAGGGUGACCGGCACAAUGGGACUGAGGGAGGGACCAGUCUCCCACAGGGGGCAACGGGGGAGAAUAUUACCCAGAGGGGCGGAGCCUGGGACGACGACCCCCGGAUCGGGAAGAACGCCCUGGUGGUAGAAACCGCCUUCCGCUAAUACCUAGCCGUAGUGACGUUAAUAGGUAAAGAAGCCACGGCUAACUUCGUG